GGGGGUAGGUUUAAUACGUAGGCGCCAUGGAUGGCGAAUCGUGCAUGCCACUGGUAAGGGCUAGUAGUAUCUAUGAAGAUUCCCACCUCC
rfam:Glossina brevipalpis unplaced genomic scaffold Scaffold15, whole genome shotgun sequence.